GGAGUCUGGUCCGUGUCUCAGUACCAGUGUGGGGGGUAAGCCUCUCAGCUCCCCUAGACAUCGUCGGCUCGGUGGGCCGUUACCCCGCCGACUACCUAAUCCUACGCAUCGCCAUCCCUUACCGAUAAAUCUUUCAUACUCUUCUGAUGCCAUCUAAAUAUAUAUCGGGCAUUAAUUCGGUUUUCACCGGGCUAUUCCCGAGUAAGGGGAAGGUUCGAUACGCGUUACGCACCCGUGCGCCGGUCGCCAUCAACAAGUGCAAGCACUCGUCAUGCUGCCCCUCGACUUGCAUGUGUUAAGCCUGUAGCUAGCGUUCAUC
rnacentral:rRNA from 1 species